AUGGCCUGGACCCCACUCCUCCUCUUCAGCCUCCUCCUUUACUGCACAGAGUCCCUCUGCCAGCUUAUGCUGACUCAGCCGCCCUCUACAUCUGCCUCCUUGGGAGCCUCGGUCAAGCUCACCUGCACCCUGGACAGUGGGCACAGCAACUAUGGCAUUGGAUGGCAGCAGCAGCAGCCAGGGAAGGCCCCUCGGUAUAUCAUGAGGCUUAGCAAUGAUGGAACCAGCAGCAAGGGGGACGGGAUCCCUGACCGCUUCUCAGGCUCCAGCUCCGGGGCUGACCGCUACUUAACCACCUCCAACCUCCAGUCUGAGGACAAGGCUGAUUAUUACUGUCAGACUUCAGAUUGGGGGAUGGACUGGACCCCGGGCUCCGUCCCACCCCGCGUCCCAGGCCCUUCAUUCCCCACAGGUGACCAGGAGCUGGACGAUGGGAGGAAUAACUGUCUACUAGACAGACAGGGUAUCAGGCUGGGGAUGAAAGGACCAGGGGCUCUGGACAUGUCUCUGCCCACUGACCCACUCCUCUUCCUCUCGGUCUGUCCUGAAGUUCAGGGUCCUGGACCCAGUCUGUCAGUCUGUGCUGACUGGACCACUUGA